GCCUCCUUAGCACAGUUGGUUAAUGCGCAGGACUCAUAAUCCUGAGACCCAGGGCUCGAAUCCCUGAGGAGGCACCA
rnacentral:tRNA from 1 species